CGUCAAAUCAUCAUGCCCCUUACGUCUUGGGCUACACACGUGCUACAAUGGCUGAAACAAAGGGAAGCAACAUUGUAAGAUGAAGCAAAUCUCAUAAAAACAGUCCCAGUUCGGAUUGUGGGCUGCAACCCGCCCACAUGAAGUCGGAGUUGCUAGUAAUCGCGGAUCAGCAUGCCGCGGUGAAUACGUUCCCGGGUCUU
rnacentral:rRNA from 1 species